ACUCCCAAUCCUUGUACCAGUGUCUUGAUACCAAAGUGACGCUGGGCAGGUUUGGGGGGGG
rnacentral:pre_miRNA from 1 species